UACGGGAGGCAGCAGUGGGGAAUAUUGCACAAUGGGCGCAAGCCUGAUGCAGCGACGCCGCGUGAAGGAUGAAUGUCUUCGGAUUGUAAACUUCUAUCAGCAGGGAAGAAUACCAUGACGGUACCUGACUAAGAAGCCCCGGCUAACUACGUGCCAGCAGCCGCGGUAAU
rnacentral:rRNA from 1 species